rnacentral:rRNA from 1 species
CGGUGCCAGCAGCCGCGGUAAUUCCAGCUCCAAUAGCGUAUAUUAAAGUUGUUGCAGUUAAAAGCUCGUAGUUGAAUUUCGGGGUCAGUAGGUUGGUCGUGCCACCGGUACGUACUGGUCUCACUGAUUCCUCCUUCCUGAUGAGCUGUAAUGCCAUUAAUUUGGUGUUGCAGGGAAUCUGGACUGUUACUUUGAAAAAAUUAGAGUGUUUAAAGCAGGCUAACGCUUGAAUACAUUAGCAUGGAAUAAUGAAAUAGGACGUUCGAUCCUAUUUUGUUGGUUUCUAGGAUUGACGUAAUGAUUAAUAGGGAUAGUUGGGGGCAUUAGUAUUCAAUUGUCAGAGGUGAAAUUCUUGGAUUUAUUGAAGACUAACUACUGCGAAAGCAUUUGCCAAGGAUGUUUUCAUUAAUCAAGAACGAAAGUUAGGGGAUCGAAGACGAUCAGAUACCGUCGUAGUCUUAACCAUAAACUAUGCCGACUAGGGAUCGGAUGAUGUUAAUUUUUUAAUGACUCAUUCGGCGCCUUACG